GGGGGUGUGGCGGAACUGGUAGACGCGCCAGUUUAGCUUGCCGACUGAGACUUCAGCCGGCAAGGUAAGCCGGUGAUCUUCGGGUCGUGUGGGUUCGAGUCCCACCACCUCCA
rnacentral:tRNA from 1 species